rnacentral:rRNA from 1 species
UACGUAGGGUGCAAGCGUUGUCCGAAUUAUUGGGCGUAAAGAGCUUGUAGGCGGUUUGUCGCGUCUGCUGUGAAAUUUCGGGGCUCAACCCCGAACUUGCAGUGGGUACGGGCAGACUAGAGUGUGGUAGGGGAGACUGGAAUUCCUGGUGUAGCGGUGAAAUGCGCAGAUAUCAGGAGGAACACCGAUGGCGAAGGCAGGUCUCUGGGCCAUAACUGACGCUGAGAAGCGAAAGCAUGGGGAGCGAACAGG